GCCCGCUUAGCUCAGUGGUAGAGCGCGUCACUUGUAAAAUGAGUUUAUGAUGAGGUCGGUUGUUCAAUCCAGCCAGUGGGCA